GAAAAGAAACCAACAGGGAUUGCCUCAGUAACGGCGAGUGAAGCGGCAACAGCUCAAAUUUGAAAUCUGGCCUCUGGCCCGAGUUGUAAUUUGCAGAGGAUGUUUCUGGCGAGGUGCCUUCCGAGUUCCCUGGAACGGGACGCCAUAGAGGGUGAGAGCCCCGUACGGUUGGUCGCUAAGCCUCUGUGAAACUCCUUCGACGAGUCGAGUAGUUUGGGAAUGCUGCUCUAAAUGGGAGGUGUACGCCUUCUAAAGCUAAAUAUAGGCUAGAGACCGAUAGCGCACAAGUAGAGUGAUCGAAAGAUGAAAAGCACUUUGAAAAGAGGGUUAAAUAGUACGUGAAAUUGUUGAAAGGGAAGCGCUCUUGACCAGACUUGCGCCGGUUGAUCAUCCACCGUUCUCGGUGGUGCACUCUGCCGGCUCAGGCCAGCAUCAGUUCGGCUUGGGGGAUAAAGGCUUCGGGAAUGUGGCUCUCUCCGGGGAGUGUUAUAGCCCGUUGCGUAAUACCCUGGGCCGGACUGAGGUUCGCGCAUCUGCAUGGAUGCUGGCGUAAUGGUCAUCAGUGAC
rnacentral:rRNA from 1 species